GGGGAGUUAGCUCAGUGGUAGAGUGCUUGCCUUGCAUGCAUGAGGCCCUGGGUUCGAUUCCUAAGCACCACA
rnacentral:tRNA from 1 species